rnacentral:rRNA from 1 species
UACGUAGGCAGCAAGCGUUGUUCGGAAUUACUGGGCGUAAAGAGUGUGUAGGCGGUGCUCUAAGUUCGGUGUGAAAUCUCCCGGCUUAACUGGGAGGGUGCGCCGGAAACUGGAGUGCUUGAGCGCGGGAGAGGAAAGCGGAAUUCCACGUGUAGCGGUGAAAUGCGUAGAGAUGUGGAGGAACACCAGUGGCGAAGGCGGCUUUCUGGUCUGUAACUGACGCUGAGGCGCGAAAGCGUGGGGAGCAAACAGG